AACGAACGUUGGCGGCGUGCCUAACACAUGCAAGUCGAGCGCGGGCAGGACUUCGGUCCUGUUCCGAGCGGCGCACGGGUGAGUAACACGUGAGUAACCUGCCUCGAAGUUUGGGAUAACCGGCCCGAAAGGGUGGCUAAUACCGGAUAAGCCCCCACUGGCACAGGCCAGAGAGGGAAAAGCCUUGGCGCUUCGAGAUGGGCUCGCGUCCCAUUAGCUAGUUGGUGAGGUAACGGCUCACCAAGGCGGAAGAUGGGUAGCUGGUCUCGAGAGGAUGAUCAGCCACACUGGAACUGAGACACGGUCCAGACUCCUACGGGAGCAGCAGUGGGGAAUAUUGCGCAAUGGGC
rnacentral:rRNA from 1 species